UCCAGAAUAAACUUCAAGGUGUCUAGGGCGUCAGACAGCCAUAUUGGUUAUGAGCCUACACUAUCUUACAACUUAGUUUUAGGUUAGAAGUAAUGGUAAAGCAUGGGAGAAGCAGAAAACAGGAAAGAACCAUUUAUUCCAGGACAUCAUGAAGCUGAGAUCUGCUAUGGAGGUGAAGCUGACCUACACAAGCACUAUACCGGCUGUAAGAAGAAUCCAGGUCAUGUCAACUUUAUACCUGUUAAUGAUUUUAACUUGUAUAAUCUCCCCUCAACUUACCAUGACGUCAUCAUGUUGGAGGUAAUCAAAGCUUUGUCUGCCCUAACGGUCCUGAUAAAGGUCAAGUACACCAGUCUAGAGAGACCUGAGUCUGUUCCAUGCUUCAGUGGUCAGUAUCCAUUUUAUAACACCAGAGGAAGUGACGUAUUGAGGACAGGGACGGGGAGGGUGAGGCAUGUGGACAAGUACACAGAGUGACAACAAGGGCACUUGUCGAUGUGGCAAGUGUCAACACUCGGACACACCCAGCAAAGUGUGGGGGGAGGUUUGUGUGGGGACAGCCACACACGUGGUGUUUGAUGUCAGUGAGGCGAGACAGACCAGGUGUGUUGUAGGAUUUGAUGACAAUAAAAGUCCAGUGGUCAGUCUUGAUGGCUGGGGGGUGGGGAGGGCAGACAUUGAGGGAGACUGGUGUGAGUUUACAUGUGUGUCAUGUGACUUAGAGUUUCUUGAUGAACUGUACAAGAUGUGUCGGCGGUUCCAUGACAAAUGAUCUCAGGACAAAUGAUCUCAGACAAAAUAUCUCAGACAAAAUAUCUCACGGACAAAUGAUCUCAGGACAAAUGAUCUCAGGACAAAUGAUCUCAAGGACAAAUGAUCUCACGGACAAAAUAUACCAGGACAAAAUAUAUCAGGACAAAUGAUAUCAUGGACAAAUGAUCUCAGACAAAAUAUCUCAGACAAAAUAUCUCACAGCGAAAUUUUAAUAGUAUGUGCGAUGAUUUUAGUUGAUUUGAACUUUUUUUUAUUGACUGUUAAUAUGGGUUUGUUUACUUUUUUACGCAUAAUAAUUGUGAAUAAAAUGAAUUUGUUAAACCUAACAAACCAUCAAAAGAUUUAUUAAACUUUGUCGAAGCAUUUGAUUCGAAAAAGUAAAAAUUAUAACAAACGUACUCCUUUAGCCUGAAAUUUGUAAUAAAUGAUAAUGUAUAAAACAAAUAAAGUAAUGGUAGUUACACAACAUUAAGUUUCAAAACACGCGAAAUAUUUUUCAAAAAUGUGAAUGGGUCUUCAGGAUCGUAACGAUAAACUAUUGUUUUUAUUGCAUCAUCAACACAAACAUAACGUUUACGUUUCUUUGCUGGCAGGUACAUCAAUAUGAUCACACCUCUCCAAUACUAUGUGAUCAUAUAUUGUGUGAACUCUUGCUCGACAUGUCCUAGUUUCACAUUUCCAAAUCUCUUUGCCUGCUUAUGGCAAACAUAAAUUCACCAGAAACUAAUGUCCUUAAAUCUAUCUGCGAGGUAACGAAAUAGGCCAUAACUGAGUAAUCACCACUAAUACUGGUUUGUUUGAUGCACACUACGACAAACUUAGCUCCGCGAUGACCGCUGUUUGUUUAAAAAAGAAUUUGUCACCUGAUCACUAAGGUGUGACCGACGCAUAACUAUUGACUGUUGAUGCUAGUUGUAUUGUCCAUGGAGGGCGGAUGUCUUUCCCUUAAGGUAUGUCUCUACCAUCAAAGCGGGCGGCCACCUUGAUACGAAGGUGUAUCUUUAUUGUUAUUUCAUUCCUUUUAUCUAGUUUCGUCCACCUGACGUGGUACGAUUGUCUCAUGUUUGGCAAGCCCACCUACGCUGUCUAUCAAAAACAAUCUUUAAUCUUCGUAUACUACAUUACUAAUACUAACUUUAAAAUGUUUAGUGCAAUAUGACAAAUUUAUACGGCAAACAUUUCUUACAAUUAUUAUAUAGGCCUAUAAACAAUAUUAAAACAUAAUAAACAUAACCAUAUGACAAUCAGUAAAAAAAAAUUCAGAUCAGCUAAAAUCAUCAACUACUCUAUUAAAAUUUGGUGUGAGAUAUUUUGUCUGAGAUAUUUUGUCUGAGAUCAAUUGUCCGUGGUAUCAUUUGUCCUGAUAUAUUUUGUCCUGGUAUCUUUUGUCCGUGAGAUCAUUUGUCCUUGAGAUCAUUUGUCCUGAGAUCAUUUGUCCUGAGAUCAUUUGUCCGUGAGAUAUUUUGUCUGAGAUAUUUUGUCUGAGAUCAUUUGUCCUGAGAUCAUUUGUCCUGUCACCGUGUCGGCACUUUGGUGAUCUAUGUGUAAAAGUAUGGGACAAAUACGGGACAUUUGAUGAUGUGGACAAGUUGGCCGUUAUAGUAUCACACCCUCAUGGCUGUCCUAAACAGGUCUCUGUAGGACAAUGGACACACGAACAUUUGGGGAGAGGUUGGUACAAGUACACGUACACAACAUGUACAUGUCCAGGCUCCAGUGGAGCACAUGUCUACAUACCGAGACAUGACAGGUUGUGGUCACUCCCGCACAGUGGAUCAAACUCUGAAGCAAAUUAUUGUGGGGAGACUUGGUUGUAUUGAUCCACCUGUGACUGUUGAUUCUCUCCCCUUGUCUAAUGUAACUUAUGGUUCUCCCCUCUUCUCUAAUGUAAACAAACAAAAUUGCGGCUCACUUCAUUAAACUUGUGUGUGUCAAGACAUGAAUGUCUUCAACAGCAACUUUGUAUUCUGGUAAAGGCAAGAACGAAAUUGUUUAAUUUCUAUAACGCCUUUAGUUUAUAGUUCAAAACUAAACACAGAAUGUGUAAACACAUGCUUUAAAUUUGUAACGGUGACUGAAUGACUAGAUCUAAACUAUUCUAAAUUCUACAUUAAAGACGCUUAAAAUAUUGAUGCUAUUUUUUUAUUUGUUGUAGUCUUACUUACGGUUGGUCUGCCGUGGUUAUGGCUAUGAUAAAGAAAGUUGCAAACCUACAGUGAUAAUCUGUGAUCAACCUAAAAUGGCCUUACUAUAUCCAUAGCUUACUAACUCCCAUAAUAUCAGUAUAUAGUUUAUGUAUAUAAUUUAGAAAAAAAUGUAAUAAUUUUUUCUUAUGUCAUUUUUUUUUUCGUGUUUAUAUAAUGUUGUGUUUUUGUUUAUCAAGAAAAACAAAU